rnacentral:rRNA from 1 species
GUGCGAGCCGCCGCGGUAAUACCGGCAGUUCAAGUGAUGGCCGAUAUUAUUGGGCCUAAAGCGUUCGUAGCUGGCUAGUCAAGUCCGUUGGGAAAUCGACGUGCCUAACACGUCGGCGUCCAGCGGAAACUGACUUGCUUGGGACCGGAAGACUCGAGGGGUACGUCCGGGGUAGGAGUGAAAUCCUGUAAUCCUGGACGGACCACCGAUGGCGAAAGCACCUCGAGAGCACGGAUCCGACAGUGAGGAACGAAAGCUGGGGUCUCGAACCGGAUUAGAAACCCUUGUAGUUC